AGGGGAGGGUGCUAAGAGGCAAAUAAAUAACCAGUGAGACCUGGGUGUGGAGCUCACUGGUUGGCCUAGAAACUGGGAAUUAAUCAGGAAAUCCCAGCAGACAGACCCGAAGUCAGUUAAGGGAAGUGCGCUCACAAUUCUUUCUGUAGAUAUGUUAAUCUAUCCUGCCCAGGGGCUUGUCCCACCCGCCCGGGGGCGUUGAGGCCAGCGGGCUCAGCCAGGCCUUGGGGCUGGCACCACCCAAGCAGAAGACUGCGGAGCGGGCCAUAUUGGAGUUCUUCAUGGUUACAGCUCCCAAACACUAGGACGAAAGGGAUACAGGGGAAGGUCUGCGUGGUAGAGAUCUGAUCCUUGGGUCAGACAUGAUCACUGCAUGUCUGCUCAGUCCGUGGCAUGGUGCUGGCCCGGGGCACAGAUGGAUGAAUACAGCAAUGGCAUGGAGGGGGCAGCGGUACGCAAUUCAGCAGUCUGGUUCGAAUCUCACCUCUGUUCCUUUUUACGAGAGCAGAAACAGAACAUGUAAGUCUUCUGGACUCUAUUCCUCUAUGGCUCCAGGGUCAGAAAUCCCACCUCUUCCCAUUUCAUUAAUCGACAAAUGUUUCCUGACACCAGCCAUAAGCUCAACCAGUGCAAAAGAUACAAGAAAAUGCUAAGAUGGACAAUGGUCAAACAGCUAACCGCUCUUUCCUUCUCUGCCAAGCACAAUCUAUAUAAAAUUGUUCAAUGAAAGAAGCAUGCAGUGCCAUUAGCCAAUA